rnacentral:rRNA from 1 species
GAGACAGCAGCAGCCGCGGGAAUACGUAGGUGGCAAGCGUUGUCCGGAAUUAUUGGGCGUAAAGGGCUCGCAGGCGGUUUCUUAAGUCUGAUGUGAAAGCCCCCGGCUCAACCGGGGAGGGUCAUUGGAAACUGGGAAACUUGAGUGCAGAAGAGGAGAGUGGAAUUCCACGUGUAGCGGUGAAAUGCGUAGAGAUGUGGAGGAACACCAGUGGCGAAGGCGACUCUCUGGUCUGUAACUGACGCUGAGGAGCGAAAGCGUGGGGAGCGAACAGGAUUAGAUACCCCUGUAGUCCCUGUCUCUUAUAC